AGGGUUUGAUUAUGGCUCAGGAUGAACGCUGGCGGCGUGCUUAACACAUGCAAGUCGAGCGAAGCAUUUAAGAUGAUCUCUUCGGAUUGAGUCUUAUAUGACUGAGCGGCGGACGGGUGAGUAACGCGUGGGUAACCUGCCUCAUACAGGGGGAUAACAGUUAGAAAUGACUGCUAAUACCGCAUAAGCGCACAGGGCUGCAUGGCCUGGUGUGAAAAACUCCGGUGGUAUGAGAUGGACCCGCGUCUGAUUAGCUAGUUAGAGGGGUAACGGCCCACCAAGGCGACGAUCUGUAGCCGGCCUGAGAGGGUGAACGGCCACAUUGGGACUGAGACACGGCCCAG
rnacentral:rRNA from 1 species